rnacentral:lncRNA from 1 species
UGGAGUUCGAUAGAAUUCGUGGGAUUGUGAGAGACGGAGACGGAAGUGUCUUCUGUUUUGGUUUUCUUUUUUUCUUUUCUUUAAUUUAUUUUUAUACAGAAUAAGUUUUGAAAAAAACAUUAAAGAUUUGGUUAAACUUCCUAAGUAGUUAAUAAGUAUUUACACCUUUUCAAUUCAUAUUCCCAUUGAAAAACCCAACAGCCAGGCGGCUGGGUUUCUUUGGUAAUCCAACAGACCCUUGCUAUUUGUUUUUUUAGUUUCUUUUUUUCAUUUUUUGUUCCAAUCUAGUAGGGUUUAUAUAUUUAGGUUGUUAUUUAAAUGAUAACUAAUUAUAAGUGGUUUGGUGGAGAAGGGUAGUAUCAUAGUCUUG